UUCGUUACUGUUGAUAUCUGUACCUUAGAAAUAUUCUUUGUUUUAAAAGGUUUUCAAAGAAUAUUUCUAAGGUACAAAUAUCAACAGUAAUUAACGAA
rnacentral:sRNA from 1 species